rnacentral:snRNA from 1 species
GGGGAAUCUGACUUAGACAUCUGUCACCCCAUUGAUCGCCAGGGUUGAUUCUACUGAUCUGGCUGGCUAGGCAAUGCGCACUUGGCUGAAGAGGACUACCUUCCAGAAUAGAGGAGGAUGGAUCUUCGUGAAGAGUAUACAAGAAGCUGUGCUUCCCUGCUAGACCCUCCAAGCAACCUCUCAGUAAUACAAGGGAGUCAGUAGGUAAACACCUGCUUUAAAAUUGAAGUGAUUACUU